rnacentral:rRNA from 1 species
UAAGGAAUAUUGGUCAAUGGACGGAAGUCUGAACCAGCCAUGCCGCGUGCAGGAAGACGGUCCUCUGGAUUGUAAACUGCUUUUGUUAGGGAAGAAACUUCCGUACGUGUACGGGACUGACGGUACCUAAAGAAUAAGGAUCGGCUAACUCCGUGCCAGCAGCCGCGGUAAUACGGAGGAUCCAAGCGUUAUCCGGAUUUAUUGGGUUUAAAGGGUGCGUAGGCGGCGUUGUAAGUCAGUGGUGAAAGUUUGCAGCUUAACUGUAAAAUUGCCAUUGAUACUGCAGUGCUUGAGUAUAGAUGAGGUGGGCGGAAUGUGUCAUGUAGCGGUGAAAUGCAUAGAUAUGACACAGAACACCGAUUGCGAAGGCAGCUCACUAAACUAUAACUGACGCUGAGGC